rnacentral:rRNA from 1 species
UACGGAGGGUGCGAGCGUUGUCCGGAAUCACUGGGCGUAAAGGGCGCGUAGGCGGCGCGGAUAGUCGGCGGUGAAAGCCCGGAGCUCAACUCCGGGUCGGCCGUCGAUACUUCCGGGCUUGAGCACUGUAGAGGCAGAUGGAAUUCCUGGUGUAGCGGUGAAAUGCGCAGAUAUCAGGAGGAACACCGGUGGCGAAGGCGGUUCUCUGGGCAUUACCUGACGCUGAGGAGCGAAAGUGUGGGGAGCGAACAGG